GGGUGGGCGCUCCCCUUGUGCUGGAGGAUCUGCCCGGCGAGGCCGGGGGAUCCCGGCUCUCCCCCCGCUGCGUGGGCCCUGAGCGCUCCCGCUUUUCCCUCCAGGCGCAGGGCUGCCUGGAAAUGCCUAGGUUAAAGCAGAACGAAGAGAUCCGCGUCUCAUCCUGCUUCCUUACAAAUACAGCGUGAAAACUUUCGCUUUUCCUCCUUACGGUAUUAUUAUUCUGCCUGCUCGGAAAUCUAGGCAGUUGACCUAUUUUGCUCCUGACAGAAGUAUUUUUAUGCUGCCUUUCAUCUUGCUUGUGUACUCUUCCCUCCAAAAAAACACCCUGAAGAAAUAUUUGUAAAUAAACAUCAAUCAGCAACCCUGGUAAUCUUCAAGAAUAAUCUUGAGAAUUGGGGCUUGCUCACUGUCUUCCAUUUA